UACGAAGGGGGCUAGCGUUGCUCGGAAUCACUGGGCGUAAAGCGCACGUAGGCGGAUUGCUAAGUCAGGGGUGAAAUCCUGGAGCUCAACUCCAGAACUGCCUUUGAUACUGGCGAUCUCGAGUCCGGGAGAGGUGAGUGGAACUGCGAGUGUAGAGGUGAAAUUCGUAGAUAUUCGCAAGAACACCAGUGGCGAAGGCGGCUCACUGGCCCGGUACUGACGCUGAACUGCGAAAGCUAGGGGAGCGAACGGG
rnacentral:rRNA from 1 species